AGAGUUUGAUCCUGGCUCAGGAUGAACGCUGGCGGCGUGCUUAACACAUGCAAGUCGAACGAACCUUCGGGUUAGUGGCGGACGGGUGAGUAACGCGUGGGAAUCUGCCCUCAGGAGGGGGAUAACGGUUGGAAACGACCGCUAAUACCCCAUAUGCCGAGAGGUGAAAUGAAUUUCGCCUGAGGAUGAGCCCGCGUCUGAUUAGCUUGUUGGUGAGGUAAUGGCUCACCAAGGCAUCGAUCAGUAGCUGGUCUGAGAGGAUGAUCAGCCACACUGGGACUGAGACACGGCCCAGACUCCUACGGGAGGCAGCAGUGGGGAAUUUUCCGCAAUGGGCGAAAGCCUGACGGAGCAACGCCGCGUGAGGGACGAAGGCCUCUGGGCUGUAAACCUCUUUUCUCAAGGAAGAAGAUAUGACGGUACUUGAGGAAUAAGCCACGGCUAAUUCCGUGCCAGCAGCCGCGGUAAUACGGGAGUGGCAAGCGUUAUCCGGAAUUAUUGGGCGUAAAGCGUCCGCAGGCGGCCUUUCAAGUCUGCUGUUAAAGCGUGGAGCUUAACUCCAUCAUGGCAGUGGAAACUGAUUGGCUUGAGUAUGGUAGGGGCAGAGGGAAUUCCCGGUGUAGCGGUGAAAUGCGUAGAUAUCGGGAAGAACACCAGUGGCGAAGGCGCUCUGCUGGGCCAUUACUGACGCUCAUGGACGAAAGCCAGGGGAGCGAAAGGGAUUAGAUACCCCUGUAGUCCUGGCCGUAAACGAUGAACACUAGGUGUCGGGGGAAUCGACCCCUUCGGUGUCGUAGCUAACGCGUUAAGUGUUCCGCCUGGGGAGUACGCACGCAAGUGUGAAACUCAAAGGAAUUGACGGGGGCCCGCACAAGCGGUGGAGUAUGUGGUUUAAUUCGAUGCAACGCGAAGAACCUUACCAGGGCUUGACAUCCUGCGAACCUCUAAGAAAUUAGAGGGUGCCUUCGGGAACGCAGUGACAGGUGGUGCAUGGCUGUCGUCAGCUCGUGUCGUGAGAUGUUGGGUUAAGUCCCGCAACGAGCGCAACCCACGUUUUUAGUUGCCAGCAUUUAGUUGGGCACUCUAGAAAGACCGCCGGUGAUAAACCGGAGGAAGGUGUGGAUGACGUCAAGUCAUCAUGCCCCUUACGUCCUGGGCUACACACGUACUACAAUGCUACGGACAAAGGGCAGCAAACUCGCGAGAGCUAGCAAAUCCCAUAAACCGUGGCUCAGUUCAGAUCGUAGGCUGCAACUCGCCUACGUGAAGUAGGAAUCGCUAGUAAUCGCAGGUCAGCAUACUGCGGUGAAUACGUUCCCGGGCCUUGUACACACCGCCCGUCACACCAUGGAAGUUGGCCACGCCCGAAGUCGUUACUUUAACCCUUGUGGAGAAGGACGCCGAAGGUGGGGCUGAUGACUGGGGUGAAGUCGUAACAAGGUAGCCGUACCGGAAGGUGCGGCUG
rnacentral:rRNA from 3 species